rnacentral:lncRNA from 1 species
AUGCCCACUGCUGCCAGUGCCUGUGCGCACCCCGGAGACGCAUCAGACAACCAGCAAAACCAGGCCCAUUGGACUUCACAGAUCUCUCCUGGUGCAGCCGGUUCGGAACCUUGUGGAGUUGGCUGCCUGCCCGAGAAACACAUGUGCAAUCCCACCCUUCCUCAACCAACCUACACACUGAAUGUACAUGCCAACUAG